UGGGUCUUGCACAUGACAUUUUUCAACCGAUUGUUGUAUGAUACUACAAAUCAGACAAUCCGUAUGUACCACUAGGUACGUGCAACGCAGCCAGUGGAUUAAGUAUCGUGCCCGAAUCGUCCAACAGGUUUGGUUUUUCAAAUCAAAUUAUACAAACCAAGGAAUCCUAUUUACUUAGUAGCAUUACUAUUGCUAGUAAAAGUACUCGUGCGUUGCACCAGAUGAAAUAAAAAAAAA
rnacentral:lncRNA from 1 species